rnacentral:lncRNA from 1 species
UAUUUUAGGUACAACUUUAUUUUCAUCUGGAUUAAAUAAAACAACACUGUAAUGUAAACCUAUGGCCUAUACUGAUGUAAAGUCCCCUGUUUGGGGGACCUGUGUUGUUCUGGUACCGGUUCCAACCAACAUUUUCACUUAUAAAUCGAUAUGUAGACAACGUAUAUGGAAAUGGCUUGCUGUGAACGACAGUCCUUGUUCCCACGGACACAGUAGUAUAUUUUCUGAGCCUGUGCAAUGUAGGAUGUGAAAUCUGAAACCACUUGACACUGGGAUGUCCUUCAUUCACUCUUCCGACUGUCCAUCACCUCCUGGCUGAACCUUACGUCACAGCAACUGACAAAACACAUGACUGAAAUCCUGACAUCGUAGCACAGCAGUAGAGAGUGGUUUCAUCAGAGAUUGAUUUACAGCCAUUCAUCUAAAAUAAUUCAUAGAUUUUAAACAACAAAAAAAACAACGUUGUUUUUUCACAGAUUUGUCAUAUGAAUGUGAGAUGAAAGGCGAGUUACUAACGAGUUCAGGAAGGCCAAGCUAGAGCUUGUUUUAAACAAAAGAAAAUACUUUUAGAAAAUGUGCACAUUUUCUCUAACACUAAACAUACAAAUAUGUAUUUUACAGUUAUAAGGAAGGUACUAUCUUAUACUUAGAGGUUUUAUAAUUUGAUUAUAAUAUAUUUAGAAAGCAUAUAAGUCAUUUCAAGACUUAUUCAUACAGUUUUGUUGAAAAGGAAUUACGUAAUAUAAAAUAUGUAUCAUAUUUGUACUGUAUACUUGAGCUUGUGUCUUAAAGUGACUACACCUCAGCAAUUUACAACUAUUUUUUUACCAGAAAGGUGAGAUUUGAACCUUUCUGUGAAUAUGUAGCAUCACUAGUUAAUAUUUAUGGCCCUUUGGGGAUUACAUAGAUUACAUUUUAGUUAAACAUUUUUUUAUAAGUAUACUACAUUUUGACAUAACAUGUUUUGUCUUUAUCGUUUCAUAAUUACAACAUUAAAAACAUACGGUCCUAAAAAAGAAAGGGUGGUGGCAUCGCCCAUAAAAGACUGCAACAACAAGUACGUCUUUCUACGACAGAAAGAGAACUAGGGACAGAACAGAAACUGAUAUAGAGUAAAGUUGGAACUCCCACUGAAUUGGACUAGGAGAUGAAUUAUCUCAUGUCGUUGUUUGAUCUCUUAAAGGGACGGGGGUCAAAGUAACUCACGCAAUAACCACCAUGGCCUCCCCACCAACUCAUGGUAGUACUAUGUUUCCUUUACAACAUUACCCCUUGUAACCAUACAACAUUACCCCCUGUAACCAUACAACAUUACCCACUGUAACCAUACAACAUUACCCCCUGUAGCCAUACAACAUUACUCCCUGUAACCAUACACCAUUACUCCCUGUAACCAUACACAACAUUACCCCUUGUAAUCAUACACAACAUUACUCCCUGUAACCAUACACUACAUUACCCGCUGUGACCAUACACAGCAUUACCCCCUGUAACAAUACACGACAUUACCCCCUGUAACCAUACAACAUUACCCCUUGUAACCAUACACAACAUUACCCCCUGUAACCAUACACUACAUUACCCACUGUAACCAUACACAGCAUUACCCCCUGUAACAAUACACGACAUUACCCCCUGUAACCAUACAACAUUACCCCUUGUAACCAUACACAACAUUACCCCCUGUAACCAUACACAACAUUACCCACUGUAACCAUACACAGCAUUACCCCCUGUAACCAUACACAACAUUACCCCUUGUAACCAUACACAACAUUACCCGCUGUAACCAUACACAACAUUAUCCCAGUGGAACCCAUCUAUAUAAAGCCUAAUUGGUUUUGUAUACUUCAGAUUAGGGCUGUGUGUAGUUGCAUACCAAAUGACACUCUAUACUUGGGUCCUGGUCCAAAGUAGUGCACUAUAUAGGGAAUAGGGUGCUAUAGGGCUCUGGUCUAAAGUAGUGCACUAUAUAGGGAAUAGGGUGCCAUAGAGCGCUGGUCUAAAGUAGUGCACUAUAUAGGGAAUAGGGUGCCAAAGGGCUCUGUCUAAAGUAGUGCACUAUAUAUAAGGAAUAGGAUGCCAUAGGGCUCUGCUCUAAAGUAGUGCACUAUAUAGGGACUAGGCUGCCAUUUAGGAUGUAGCCUAUGUUUCCAACCCAUUCAACAGCAUUGGGUUGUCGUUUGAACUCUGACAAGGAAUGGGGGUCAAAGUCACAAUCACCCCACGCCUGGCUGCCCCUUUCCUCACCAACUCACUGCAUACAAUAUAAAUGUCUCUGAAAAACAUAUUUUCCUCACAGCAUAACAUACCCUUUCAAAUAUAACCCAGCUAGAUAAAGUCCCAUUGCACUUGUACACAAUUCCCUUUAUUUGCAAAUGAACACUUUGGUUUUCAAACCUGGAAUUUGAGCUGAUAUUUGAGCUGAAUAUCACUCUAAUUACACUUGUGUAUUUUCACUGAUAAAACAACAGAUCAGGGUGUAUUCCAGGCUUCUGCUUUCAUAGAACAAGAGAGGAGAACCUCCCUUCAAGCGUCUGCCCUGAACUUAUCCUGGUCUCCACCCUUACCCUGGUACCUAGACAGACCAAUACAGACAGACCAUACUACCCUGGUACCUAGAGAGACCAAUACAGACAGACCAUACUACCCUGGUACCUAGACAGACCAAUACAGACAGACCAUACUACCCUGG